rnacentral:lncRNA from 1 species
UAACAAAAUCUUAUUCUAAUAGAAUACUAAGUAAUCUCUAAUUAAAUCUUAAUAAUGCUAAAUAAGCUUUAAUCAAAUUCAAAAAGAAACAUCAAAGAAAUUACAAAAGAAACAAUAAGAAAUCUUAAAGGAAUUGAAAGGUAAUCUAUAAUAAAUCUUAAAAGAAUCCUUAAGAAGCCUUAAAAAAUAUUAAAAUAAUCACAAUAUAUCUUAAAUAAAUCUCAACUAAAUUCUAAUUUAUUCCUAAUCAAAAUCCUAAUAGACUUCAAUCAAAUCUUAGACAAAUCCUAAACCGUAAACCAAACCCUAGAUAAAUUGUAAUCAAAUCUUAAAUUCUAAGCCAAAUCCUAAUCAAUCUUAAAUCCUAAAUCAAAUCUUAAUCAAAUCCUAAUCAAAUCCUAAUAAAAUUCUAAAUCCUAAAUCCUAAUAAAAUCAUAAUUAAAUCCUAAUCAAAUUCUAAAUCCUAAACCAAAUCCUAAUAAAAUCUUAAAUCCUAAAUCAAAUCCUAAAAAAAUCCUAAAUCCUAA